rnacentral:rRNA from 1 species
UACGGGAGGCAGCAGUGGGGAAUAUUGGACAAUGGGCGAAAGCCUGAUCCAGCCAUGCCGCAUGAGUGAAGAAGGCCUUCGGGUUGUAAAGCUCUUUUAGUGAGAAAGAUAAUGACGGUACUCACAGAAGAAGUCCUGGCUAACUCCGUGCCAGCAGCCGCGGUAAUACGGAGGGUGCUAGCGUUAAUCAGAAUUACUGGGCGUAAAGAGCACGUAGGUGGUUUUUUAAAGUCAGAUGUGAAAUCCCUGGGCUUAACCUAGGAACUGCAUUUUGAAACUGAAAUACUAGAGUAUCGUAGAGGGAGGUAGAAUUCUAGGUGUAGCGGUGAAAUGCGUAGAUAUCUGGAGGAAUACCUGUGGCGAAAGCGGCCUCCUAAACGAAUACUGACACUGAGGGUGCGAAAGCGUGGGGAGCAAACAGGGAUUAGAUACC